rnacentral:rRNA from 1 species
UACGGAGGAUGCGAGUGUUAUCCGGAUUUAUUGGGUUUAAAGGGAGCGUAGGCGGCGAGUUAAGUCAGCGGUAAAAGCCCGGGGCUCAACCCCGGCCCGCCGUUGAAACUGGCUGGCUUGAGAUGUCGAGAGGUAUGCGGAAUGCGCAGUGUAGCGGUGAAAUGCUUAGAUAUUGCGCAGAACUCCGACUGCGAAGGCAGCAUACCGGCGCCCGACUGACGCUGAAGCACGAAAGCGUGGGUAUCGAACAGG